AUUGAACGCUGGCGGCAGACUUAACACAUGCAAGUCGAGCGGAGUGAUGGUGCUUGCACUAUCACUUAGCGGCGGACGGGUGAGUAAUGCUUAGGAAUCUGCCUAUUAGUGGGGGACAACAUCGCGAAAGGGAUGCUAAUAACGCAUACGUCCUACGGGAGGAAGCAGGGGCUCACUUGUGACCUUGCGCUAAUAGAUGAGCCUAAGUCGGAUUAGCUAGUUGGUGGGGUAAAGGCCUACCAAGGCGACGAUCUUUAGCGGGUCUGCGAGGAUGAUCCGCCACACUGGGACUGAGACACGGCCCAGACUCCUACGGGAGGCAGCAGUGGGGAAUAUUGGACAAUGGGGGGAACCCUGAUCCAGCCAUGCCGCGUGUGUGAAGAAGGCCUUAUGGUUGUAAAGCACUUUAAGCGAGGAGGAGGCUUACCUAGUUAAUACCUGGGAUAAGUGGACGUUACUCGCAGAAUAAGCACCGGCUAACUCUGUGCCAGCAGCCGCCGUAA
rnacentral:rRNA from 1 species